GCCAGCCCGCUCAGAAACUUAAAGGAAGUUGACGGGGCCCGGCACAAGCGGUGGAGUAUGUGGUUAAUUCGAUGCAACGCGAAGAACCUUACCUGGUCUUGACAUCCCGGAGACCCUUAGGAAACUAGGGGGUGCUUCCAUCUGGAAGAAUCUGGAGACAGGUGCUGCAUGGCUGUCGUCAGCUCGUGUCGUGAGAUGUUGGGUUAAGUCCCGCAACGAGCGCAACCCUUGCCUUUAGUUGCCAGCAGUUCGGCUGGGCACUCUAAAGGGACUGCCGGUGUUAAACCGGAGGAAGGUGGGGAUGACGCCAAGUCCUCAUGGCCUUUAUGACCAGGGCUACACACGUACUACAAUGGCCGAUACAAAGGGCAGCGACACUGCGAGGUGAAGCCAAUCCCGUAAAAUCGGUCUCAGUCCGGAUUGGAGUCUGCAACUCGACUCCAUGAAGUUGGAAUCGCUAGUAAUCGUGGAUCAGCAUGCCACGGUGAAUACGUUCCCGGGCCUU
rnacentral:rRNA from 1 species